AACGAACGCUGGCGGCAUGCCUAACACAUGCAAGUCGAACGAGACCUUCGGGUCUAGUGGCGCACGGGUGCGUAACGCGUGGGAACCUGCCCUUAGGUUCGGAAUACCUCCCCGAAAGGGGUGCUAAUACCGGAUAAUGUCUUCGGACCAAAGAUUUAUCGCCUUUGGAUGGGCCCGCGUUGGAUUAGCUAGUUGGUAGGGUAAAAGCCUACCAAGGCGACGAUCCAUAGCUGGUCUGAGAGGAUGAUCAGCCACACUGGGACUGAGACACGGCCCAGACUCCUACGGGAGGCAGCAGUGGGGAAUAUUGGAAAAUGGGCGAAAGCCUGAUCCAGCAAUGCCGCGUGAGUGAUGAAGGCCUUAGGGUUGUAAAGCUCUUUUACCCGGGAUGAUAAUGACAGUACCGGGAGAAUAAGCUCCGGCUAACUCCGUG
rnacentral:rRNA from 1 species